rnacentral:lncRNA from 1 species
UUUUGCCCCACCCAUGAAAGUUGUUCUGCUCCUUUGGGAAAUUUUCACUGUUCGAGGCAGACAUUUAUUGCGUUGCUAAAUGAUACCUAGAAGUAACUCAGCCUUUACGAGUCUAAGGUGGUUGCUGUAUAUGGAACUUUAUCUGAUUUGCUUUCUGUGGCCAGCAGUAAACUCGGCAUAAAAGCCACCAGUGUGUAUAAUGGGAAAGGUGGACUGAUUGAUGAUAUUGCUUUGAUCAGAUCCUCAGACAGAUUCUAAGCCUCCUGAGGGAUUGUUAGGAUUCCACACAGACUGGCUGACAUUAAAUGUUGGAGGGCGGUACUUUACAACUACACGCGUUACUCCUACCAGGUUGUAGCAUGCAUCUUUUUGAGAGAGCAGCUGGGAUCGAGUAUACUCUUGACUUAAAUAUGUUUGUUUAUAAAGACAAAUGGAGAAAUCAAUUUUUUUCCCUGAAUUCUUAGGAGCACUUUAGUGAAUAAAGAACCUGACAGUAUGCU